AUGGGCGUUGGCUCCAACAAUUCUCAUUGGUCUCAAACCAAUGAUGUGCACUUCGGUGAUCAUGAGUUUGAGGUGGAAGAGGAUGGUGAGGGUAUCAUCAUUGCACUCAAAGGACGAGCGGGCAACUACACCAUGGACUAAGACAUCUUGCUAUGCAAUACAUGGUUGCAAGUGUCGAGGGAUGCCACCAUUGGAGGGGAUCAAAGUAGAGAUGCAUAUUGGAUCCGGAUGAAGGAACACUUUGAUUUACACAACAAAAGUGGAAUUGACCUCUCAGAAAGAUCUCUUCGCUUCCGGUGGUCAACAAUCAACAGAGAUUGUCAAAGGUGGGCGGCCGCACUUAAGGCGGUUGACACGUUAAACCCAAGUGGCACUAAUGAUAGAGAUAGGGUAAGUGCCAUUUCUUUAAUGAUUCUUCCAUGUUCAUCACGCUUUUUCUUGGUGUUUCAAGUGCUAACUUGUUCUUUUGUUUGUACCUCACUAUUGCACAAAACUUAUUUCAAGAAUAGGAGAAGAAGACCAAGAAAGGGAAGAUCAAGAAAGGGAGACCAUUUACCUUGCCUCGUUGCUAUGAUGCGUUGA
rnacentral:rRNA from 1 species